AGGUGCGGUGGCAAGUGCCUGUAGACCCAGCUACUCGGGAGGACGGGAGGAUGAGGUGGGAGGAUCGCUUAAGCCCAGGAGUUCUGGGCUGUAGUGCGCUAUGCUGAUCGGGUGUCCGCACUAAGUUCGGCAUCAACAUGGUGACCUCCCAGGAGUGGGGGACCACCAGGUUGCCUAAGGAGGGGUGAACUGGCCCAGGUCAGAAACGGAGCAGGUCAAAACUGCCAUGCUGACCAGUAGUGGGAUCAUGCCUGUGAAUAGCCACUGCACUCCAGCCUGGGCAACAAAGCAAGACCCUGUCUCU
rnacentral:SRP_RNA from 1 species